AUAUCAGUCAUGCAUAGCAUAUCAAUAAGCGGAGGAAAAGAAACUAACAAGGAUUCCCUUAGUAACGGCGAGUGAAGCGGGAAGAGCUCAAAUUUGAAAUCUUCAAGGUUUUACCUUGACGAAUUGUAGUUUAAAGAAGUGUUUUCUGUUGAAGUUUUGGUAAAAGUUCUUUGGAAUAGGACAUCAUAGAGGGUGAGAAUCCCGUAUUUGACCAUUACUUUCAGCUUUGUGAUACACUUUCAAAGAGUCGGAUUGUUUGGGAAUGCAGUCCAAAAUGGGUGGUAAAUUUCAUCUAAAGCUAAAUAUUGGCGAGAGACCGAUAGCGAACAAGUACCGUGAGGGAAAGAUGAAAAGAACUUUGAAAAGAGAGUUAAACAGUACGUGAAAUUGUCAAAAGGGAAGCGUUUGACACCAGUGUUGUUUUCUCGAAAAUCAAUUAAAAAGAGUUGGAUUUUGUGUUGUAUUGACUUUAUCAGGCUUUCUUCACUCUUUUCCAGCUUUUUUUAAUGCACUUUUCGUUUAACAAGUCAACAUCAGUUUCUUUUGUUGUAAAAAGGUCAUUGGAAGGUGGCUUUCUCUUCGGAGAAAGUGUUUAUAGUCCUUUGACUCAUGCAAUCGGAGAGACUGAGGUCUGCAGCGUAGAUCCUUCGGGGUUAGAUACAUUUGUGCUAAGUUAUAGCUUUUCAUAGACAACUUGUUGACUAUGUUUAGUCUUGUAGCUUACUCGCUUAUGCUAUUUUACCUACGCUUAGGAUGUUGAACUCUAUCACACACAG
rnacentral:rRNA from 1 species